rnacentral:rRNA from 1 species
UCAGGAUGAACGCUGGCGGCGUGCCUAAUACAUGCAAGUCGAACGCUUCACUUCGGUGAAGAGUGGCGAACGGGUGAGUAAUACAUAAGUAACCUGGCAUCUACAGGGGGAUAACUGAUGGAAACGUCAGCUAAGACCGCAUAGGUGUAGAGAUCGCAUGAACUCUAUAUGAAAAGUGCUACGGGACUGGUAGAUGAUGGACUUAUGGCGCAUUAGCUGGUUGGUAGGGUAACGGCCUACCAAGGCGACGAUGCGUAGCCGACCUGAGAGGGUGACCGGCCACACUGGGACUGAGACACGGCCCAGACUCCUACGGGAGGCAGCAGUAGGGAAUUUUCGGCAAUGGGGGAAACCCUGACCGAGCAACGCCGCGUGAAGGAAGAAGUAAUUCGUUAUGUAAACUUCUGUCAUAGAGGAAGAACGGUGGAUAUAGGAAAUGAUAUCCAAGUGACGGUACUCUAUAAGAAAGCCACGGCUAACUACGUGCCAGCAGCCGCGGUAAUACGUAGGUGGCGAGCGUUAUCCGGAAUUAUUGGGCGUAAAGAGGGAGCAGGCGGCACUAAGGGUCUGUGGUGAAAGAUCGAAGCUUAACUUCGGUAAGCCAUGGAAACCGUAGAGCUAGAGUGUGUGAGAGGAUCGUGGAAUUCCAUGUGUAGCGGUGAAAUGCGUAGAUAUAUGGAGGAACACCAGUGGCGAAGGCGACGAUCUGGCGCAUAACUGACGCUCAGUCCCGAAAGCGUGGGGAGCAAAUAGGAUUAGAUACCCUAGUAGUCCACGCCGUAAACGAUGAGUACUAAGUGUUGGGAGUCAAAUCUCAGUGCUGCAGUUAACGCAAUAAGUACUCCGCCUGAGUAGUACGUUCGCAAGAAUGAAACUCAA